rnacentral:miRNA from 1 species
GAGGUAGGAGGAUCAAUUGAGUGUCCAGGGAGGUUGAGGCUGCAGUGAGCUGUGAUCACACCACUGCACUCCAGCCUGAGUGACAGAGCAAGAUCCUGUCU